UGAGAGAAACUGUGUGAAAUUGAUCGGUCAACUAGAACAGUUGAAGCUAGAGUACCCGGAUGACGAUUCAAAAGAAGGUACUUCCACAACUAGUCUAGCUACUCCCAUGGAUGGCACGACAGGAAAAGUUCUUAGUCCGUUAGUAGUCUGGAGUAAAAGGAGACCACCAAGUAAUUGAAGAACGUACCUCGUUGAGAAGGCUCUCAAGAAACCGAGUACGAGAAGGAGAUUGCCAACAAUCGAGAUGAGUAGUCACUUAUCAAGAGAAGAUAGACCAAAUACAAAUAUGAGCGGCACACAACAUGAGGCUCCGCAAACCCAGGUAUCUUGGCUACACUCUCAAGAAAGUCAAGUUUGGACACAUACGCCGGAUUAUUUUUAUACUCCAUCGACUGCUCCUCCACCUCCAGUACAAGCGCAACCUGUGAGAUUGAAUCUCUCGGAUCAGGAUGAUCAACAAAUGCCUAGCUAGUGGCAGCCAUGAUGGUGUUGUAUUUAUGAUGGUGAUGGUGUUGUCCAGUUGGAGGUGCUUUUUGUGUAUAUGCUAAUUUGAACACUUAUUGUUGGGCAUUUGUUGUAAGUGAAGUGAUUUUUGUAUUUAUGAUGGUGAUGGUGUUGUCUAGUUGGAGGUGCUUUUUGUGUAUAUGC